rnacentral:rRNA from 1 species
GACGAACGCUGGCGGCGUGCUUAACACAUGCAAGUCGAACGGAAAGGCCCUGCUUUUGUGGGGUGCUCGAGUGGCGAACGGGUGAGUAACACGUGAGUAACCUGCCCUUGACUUUGGGAUAACUUCAGGAAACUGGGGCUAAUAUCGGAUAGGAGCUCCUGCUGCAUGGUGGGGGUUGGAAAGUUUCGGCGGUUGGGGAUGGACUCGCGGCUUAUCAGCUUGUUGGUGGGGUAGUGGCUUACCAAGGCUUUGACGGGUAGCCGGCCUGAGAGGGUGACCGGCCACAUUGGGACUGAGAUACGGCCCAGACUCCUACGGGAGGCAGCAGUGGGGAAUAUUGCACAAUGGGCGGAAGCCUGAUGCAGCAACGCCGCGUGCGGGAUGACGGCCUUCGGGUUGUAAACCGCUUUCGCAUGUGACGAAGCGUGAGUGACGGUAAUGGGUAAAGAAGCACCGGCUAACUACGUG